rnacentral:rRNA from 1 species
UACGGGGGGGGCAAGCGUUGUUCGGAAUUACUGGGCGUAAAGGGCUCGUAGGCGGCCAACUAAGUCCGACGUGAAAUCCCCAGGCUUAACCUGGGAACUGCGUCGGAUACUGGAUGGCUUGAAUCCGGGAGAGGGAUGCGGAAUUCCAGGUGUAGCGGUGAAAUGCGUAGAUAUCGGAAAGAACACCAACGGCGAAAGCACUCUGCUGGGCCGACACUGACACUGAGAGACGAAAGCUAGGGGAGCGAAUGGG